GCGUGCGUGUGUGUGUGUGUGUGUGUCUGCAGACAGAUUUUGUCACCUCUUUAGCAUUGCAACUGUGCAAGAUACAGUCAGAAAACUUAACAGGUGUGUAGUUGACAUCAAAAUGAGGGACGAGUUUGAAGAUGGGUGCGGUCUAAGCAAGGGCGCCGAAAGUAGAGGGCCCCCCUGGAUCGUUCAGGGAAGCUUCCAGAUGUACUUGAGGCUGUGCGGUAAACUGUUGGCGGGAGCGUGGUCGGCUUUGUGUCCAGCUCUGCCUGUCCUGACCUAGAUCUCUGACAGUAAACAGCUGGUUCCUAAAGCGACGUCGUGCUGCCAUCAGCAGAACAGCCCGGAGAGAUAAAUGUCAGAUUGGACCUUGGCUGAGCCUCUUGAUGCAGCUCAGGGCCCCGCGGUUUGUUUAGGAGAUCCACAGACACUUAGCAGCCAACUGCUGCUGCUGGCAUUGUUUGGUUGUUGUGUUUUGUUCUAAUUAACACUGUUUGCAUUCAAGGCGCACAAUAGAUUACAAAAAAAA